GCCGACGUAGCUCAGUUGGUAGAGCAGCUGUUUCGUAAAUAGCAGGUCGCCGGUUCGAGUCCGGCCGUCGGCUCCA
rnacentral:tRNA from 1 species